AUGGGGGACUUUGAUGGUGAGCAAAAAGAAUUGAUCAAGAAAUUGGUAAACUUUCGCAUGAUCGAUGGUAAAAGAACGAGAGUUCGUGCUAUUGUUUAUAAAACUUUUCACCGCCUAGCUCGAACUGAACGCGAUGUAAUAAAACUUAUGGUUGACGCCGUAGAUAAUAUAAAGCCAAUAUGCGAAGUGGUCAAAGUAGGAGUCGCAGGUACUAUUUAUGAUGUUCCUGGGAUUGUAGCCAGGGAUCGUCAACAAACCUUAGCUAUUCGUUGGAUCCUU
rnacentral:rRNA from 1 species